CCACUUCCUUUGACACCAUAAUGAGGCAGGUGGUUUUCCCCAGGUGAGGCUCAUCUCUUGCACUCUGGGUGUGACUGACCCCUGUGAUUUUCCCAAAUGCGGGAAACUUUAGAGCAUAAUUUGUGGCUAUUCAAUGGUUGUGGUCAUUGAG
rnacentral:snRNA from 1 species